GCCCACACUGGGACUGAGACACUGCCCAGACUCCUACGGGAGGCUGCAGUCGAGAAUCUUCCGCAAUGGACGCAAGUCUGACGGAGCGACGCCGCGUGCGGGAUGAAGGGCUUUGGCUUGUAAACCGCUGUCAGGUGUUAAGAAGGCGUAGGCGUUAAUACCGUCUGCGUUGACAAAGGCACCAAAGGAAGUCACGGCUAACUCUGUGCCAGCAGCCGCGGUAAUACAGAGGUGGCAAGCGUUGUUCGGUAUCACUGGGCUUAAAGGGCGCGUAGGCGGCGCAGUACGGUCUGGGUGAAAUCCCUCGGCUCAACCGAGGAAUUGCCUGGGCUACGGCUGUGCUAGACAGCAUCAGGGGAAGGUGGAACUCGCGGUGGAGCGGUAAAAUGCGUAGAUAUCGCGAGGAACGCCGGUGGCGAAAGCGACCUUCUGGGGUGUUUGUGACGCUGAGGCGCGAAAGCUAGGGGAGCGAACGGGAUUAGAUACCCCGGUAGUCCUAGCCCUAAACGAUGUGUACUAGGUAGUGGGACAUUCCGAUGUCCCGCUGCCGGAGCAAAAGUUUUAAGUACACCGCCUGGGGACUACGGUCGCAAGACUAAAACUCAAAGGAAUUGACGGGGGCUCACACAAGCGGUGGAGGAUGUUGCUUAAUUCGAAUCAACGCGAAGAACCUUACCAGGACUUGACAUGCUAGUAGUACGACCCGGAAACGGUGAGGACCCAUCUUUGAUGGGAGCUAGUACAGGUGUUGCAUGGCUGUCGUCAGCUCGUGCCGUGAGGUGUUGGGUUAAGUCCCGUAACGAGCGAAACCCCUGCCAUUAGUUGCCAGCGAGUAAAGUCGGGGACUCUAGUGGGACUGCCCGUGUCAAGCGGGAGGAAGGUGGGGAUGACGUCAAGUCAUCAUGGCCCUUACGUCCUGGGCUGCAAACGUCCUACAAUGGCUGGUACAAAGGGUUGCCAACCCGCGAGGGGGAGCUAAUCCCAGAAAGCCAGCCUCAGUUCGGAUUGUAGGCUGAAAUUCGCCUGCAUGAAGGUGGAAUCGCUAGUAAUCGCGGAUCAGCUACGCCGCGGUGAAUAUGUUCCUGAGCCUUGUACACACCGCCCGUCAAGCCACGGAAGCCGGGAGUACCCGAAGUCGCUAACCCAACCGUAAGGAGGGAGGCGGCCACGGUAAGCCUGGUGACUGGGACUAAGUCGUAACAAGGUA
rnacentral:rRNA from 1 species